CAGCCGCCGCGGGAAUACGUAGGUGGCAAGCGUUGUCCGGAAUUAUUGGGCGUAAAGGGCUCGCAGGCGGUUUCUUAAGUCUGAUGUGAAAGCCCCCGGCUCAACCGGGGAGGGUCAUUGGAAACUGGGAAACUUGAGUGCAGAAGAGGAGAGUGGAAUUCCACGUGUAGCGGUGAAAUGCGCAGAGAUGUGGAGGAACACCAGUGGCGAAGGCGACUCUCUGGUCUGUAACUGACGCUGAGGAGCGAAAGCGUGGGGAGCGAACAGGAUUAGAGACCCCGGUAGUCCCUGUCUCUUAUAC
rnacentral:rRNA from 1 species